rnacentral:rRNA from 1 species
CAAUAGCGUAUAUUUAAGUUGUUGCAGUUAAAAAGCUCGUAGUUGGAUUUCGGAUGGGAUUUGCCGGUCCGUCGUUACGAUGUGCACUGGCCAGUCCUAUCUUGUUGUCGGGGACUAGCUCCUUGGAUUCACUUCCUGGGACUAGGAGCUGACGAGGUUACUUUGAGUAAAUUAGAGUGUUCAAAGCAAGCCUACGCUCUGAAUACAUUAGCAUGGAAUAACACGAUAGGACUCUGGCUUAUCUUGUUGGUCUGUGAGACCAGAGUAAUGAUUAAGAGGGACAGUCGGGGACAAUCGUAUUUCAUUGUCAGAGGUGAAAUUCUUGGAUUUAUGAAAGACGAACUUCUGCGAAAGCAUUUGUCAAGGAUGUUUUCAUUAA